rnacentral:rRNA from 1 species
UACGGAGGGUGCGAGCGUUGUCCGGAAUCACUGGGCGUAAAGGGCGCGUAGGUGGCGCGAGGAGUCUGUGGUGAAAGCCCGAGGCUCAACUUCGGGUCGGCCGCGGAUACUCUCGUGCUGGAGGGUGGUAGAGGCCAAGUGGAAUUCCGGGUGUAGCGGUGGAAUGCGUAGAGAUCCGGAAGAACACCGGUGGCGAAGGCGGUUGGACU